rnacentral:rRNA from 1 species
CCUACGGGAGGCUGCAGUGAGGAAUAUUGGUCAAUGGGCGAGAGCCUGAACCAGCCAAGUCGCGUGAAGGAAGACGGCCCUACGGGUUGUAAACUUCUUUUGUCAGGGAGCAAAAUCAGGCUCGAGAGGCUGACCGAGGGUACUUGAAGAAAAAGCAUCGGCUAACUCCGUGCCAGCAGCCGCGGUAAUACGGAGGAUGCGAGCGUUAUCCGGAUUUAUUGGGUUUAAAGGGUGCGUAGGCGGGCUGUAAAGUCAGCGGGAAAAGCCCGGGGCUCAACCCCGUCGAGCCGUUGAAACUGGCUGUCUUGAGAUGUCGAGAGGUAUGCGGAAUGCGUAGUGUAGCGGUGAAAUGCGUAGAUAUCGCGCAGAACUCCGAUUGCGAAGGCAGCAUACCGGCGGCCAACUGACGCUGAGGCACGAAAGCGUGGGUAUCGAACAGGAUUAGAUACCCCAGUAGUC